rnacentral:lncRNA from 1 species
CAGGGGUGUGCCCAUCGCUCCCACUCUCCAGCCAAGCUAGGGAAGGGCAGGGCGGGAGAGCGGGAAGCUGGGCCUCUUGCUUUUCUUUCACAUUCCCAGCAUGGUAGAUGGGUGUGGACAUCAAUCCGAAGCCCACUUCCUUUCGAGGGAUCAACAGGAUGUCUCAUCACCGCGCAAAUGCGGCUGCCCCUGUUUAACCCCAUCACAGCCUGGUGCUUCAGGAUCCCUCAAAGUCCAGGGUCAAGGCCCAUUCUCUCCCUGGAUCCUGCCUUCCCUGCUCCACCGGCUCCCUUCUCCAGCCCAACUCCAUUCCUUUCAAAGGGUCUUGUUCCCUGGAGCCUGCCAGCACCGAUCCUGUGUUCCCUAGGAGUCCGGAAGAGAUGUGAGCUUGAAAGAUGGGCAGAAGUGACAAAGGGAGACACAAGGCAGAGAGAGGAGCAGAAGCAGGAAUACAGGACACAGCAGACCCUCGAGCUUGGCGGGACACAGGAUCCUGCUCUGCAACAUCCACUUCCUGCUCCCGAUCUCCCUGAAGGGGCUGCUGCUCGUGGGCCUGCUCUGCACUGUGCUGCAAGUGAGCAGUGCUAAGGGGGCCUCCAGGGGGAAAUAAAGUCACAGCCUGAGCCGGGGAACCGCAGCUCCCACACCAUCAACACCCUCAGAGGGGGCAAGCAGAACCUCUGGCCUCCUAUCAGGCCUCCUUUCCUUGUGGCUCCAGGAUGACCCUGUCAGAGAUAAUGGACUAUCGUUCAGUUGCAGAGGCCCCAGGGCCCGUCUGGACUUUUCCAUCCCAAGAGGGGCUCAGCUCUAUCCCCUUUGUGCCUGUGACACUCUCCAUCCCCCACCCGGCUCAGAACUGGCACAGCCACCACCAACCACUCCUGAUUCAACCCAAGCUUGGCCCUUUCCACCUCUCAAACUGUGCAACAGCAAAUGCAGGAUGCUCAGCCCUCAUGUGUCAGUCCCCCCAAUUCACUUGUAAUUAAAUAACAACACACCUCUUUUUCUAAUUUUCAAAGGUAUAUCUAUUUCCCCUCAAUAAAGUUGUUAG